GUCUACGGCCAUACCACCCUGAACGCGCCCGAUCUCGUCAGAUCUUGGAAGCAAAGCAGGGUCGGGCCUGGUUAGUACUUGGAUGGGAGACCUGCUGGGAAUACCGGGUACCGUAGGCU
rnacentral:rRNA from 1 species